rnacentral:lncRNA from 1 species
AUGCUGGGGCCCCGAACCCCUGUCCUGCUGGGCCUCACCUCCCGCAGCCCUUCCUGGGCAGGGCAUGGGAAAGGGGGAGAGGGCCGGUCUGCCCCAGGACAGGAAGGGAGUAGCUCAAAUCACAGAGGCUGUCUCAGGAAGCGCAACCCUGACCCCCUAGACCCUGAGCCGGGCAGGGAAGGGGCGACGACAGGGAACCGCCACGGCCGCGCCGUCGCGGCGGAUGGGGCAAGGCUGCGGGUGGGCGCGGGCUCGGGGCCCCGCCGGGGCACCUGCGCCUCGCCCCGCCCGGCCAUCCCCUCGCAGGGCCCCGUCCCGGCCUGUCGGCGCGGCCACGCGGACCCGGCGCUCCCGGCCCGCCGCCCGACGGCCGCCCCGGGCCUGGCACCUCUCUGCGCCUCCGCGGGACAAACAGCACAUGACCGCGGCUCUCGCGGCCGGCCGGGGACCCCGGCUCCCCGCCCCCAGGCCGGCACAUUCCACGGCGGGCGUCCCCUCCCUCCCUGCCCGCCCCCCCUCCCCCCGGCUCUCACCUCGUCGCCGCGGGGCUCCCGGAGCGGCUCGGCGGGGAGCACGGGGGCGACCUUCCCGGGACGCGGGAGGCGGCGGCGGGCAGGUCCGGAGCGGGCUCCGGGCGGCCCCCGCCCCUCGCCGGGGGCCCGGGCGGCGGGCGACGGACUCGCGCCCCGGGGGCGGCGGCAGCAGGAGCGGCAGCGGCGGCGCCAGCGGCCGGCGCCCGCCCGGGCAGCGCGAGCUGGGGCGGGAGCGAGGGGCGGGGGACCGGCGGGCGCGCGCACGCGAGCGGGCGCGCGCGCCGUCCCGACACCGGCCCGGGAGCGCCCUGGACUGCGGUUAAAGGGGCGAUGCCCUCCGGACUGUGGGGCCCACCGGGCGCGGACAGGGAACCGAGCUGCGGACGCAGAGAGGCACGCAGGACACCGGCCCUCGGGAGGGUUACGGCGCCGGAGGAGCCGGGCCGGGGACAGGAGGGGGGGUGGGGGCGGGUCCUGGAGGGGACCCAGGCCCCGGACCCGCGCACGUCGCCGCCGUCGGAGGCGCGCCCAGGGGCGGGGCCGCCCGUCGCGCCCCGCCCAGGGGUGGUCCCCGCCCAGGCUCCGCCCCCGGCCGCGCGCGGCGCGCAGGCUCCGCCCCUGA